AUGUCGCCUGGAGCUAUGUGUUUACUCCUCACAGCUGCAGCUCUUGUAACCAGACUUUGUCGUGGUGAUUCUGUCUCACAAACAGCGGCUGCAAUUUCAGUGAAUGAGGGGGAUGAUGUCCAGUUAUUCUGUAAUUACUCUACAAUCAGCAACAAUCCUGACCUGUUCUGGUAUCGUCAGCAUACCAGCGGCUCCAUGUAUUUUGUGCUCCUCAAAAACCAAUAUAGCGAGACACCAGCGAGUUUUCUCCAGGACCGGCUUUCCUCGGAUUUUGAUCACGUGAACUGCACUAUCCAGCUGAGAGUGUUGAAAACAGAACUGUCAGACUCCGCUGUGUAUUACUGUGCACUGAGCCCCACAGAGACUUAG